UACAGAGGCUACAAGCGUUGUUCGGAUUUACUGGGCGUAAAGCGUGCGUAGGCGGUAUUGAGAGUCGCGGGUGAAAUCCCAGAGCUUAACUCUGGAACUGCCUGCGAGACCUCAAUACUAGAGUGUGAGAGGGGAUGCUGGAAUUCCUGGUGUAGCGGUGAAAUGCGUAGAGAUCAGGAGGAACACCGGUGGCGAAGGCGGGCAUCUGGCUCACAACUGACGCUGAGGCACGAAAGCGUGGGGAGCAAACAGG
rnacentral:rRNA from 1 species